AGCCUGUAGCUCAGCGGGACAGAGCAUUCGGUUCCUAACCGAGAGGUCGAGGGUUCAAAUCCCUCCAGGCCUG
rnacentral:tRNA from 1 species